rnacentral:rRNA from 1 species
CACGUAGGGCGCGAGCGUUGUCCGGAAUUAUUGGGCGUAAAGAGCUCGUAGGCGGCCUGUUGCGUCCGCUGUGAAAGCCCGGGGCUUAACCCCGGGUCUGCAGUGGAUACGGGCAGGCUAGAGGUAGGUAGGGGAGACUGGAAUUCCUGGUGUAGCGGUGAAAUGCGCAGAUAUCAGGAGGAACACCGGUGGCGAAGGCGGGUCUCUGGGCCGUAACUGACGCUGAGGAGCGAAAGCGUGGGGAGCGAACAGG